UACGUAGGGUGCAAGCGUUAAUCGGAAUUACUGGGCGUAAAGCGUGCACAGGCGGUUUUGUAAGUCUGACGUGAAAUCCCCGGGCUCAACCUGGGAAUUGCGAUGGAGACUGCAAGGCUUGAAUCUGGCAGAGGGGGGUAGAAUUCCACGUGUAGCAGUGAAAUGCGUAGAGAUGUGGAGGAACACCGAUGGCGAAGGCAGCCCCCUGGGUCAAGAUUGACGCUCAUGCACGAAAGCGUGGGGAGCAAACAGG
rnacentral:rRNA from 1 species